AUGCAAGUCGAACGGUCCAGCCCUGCUUGCAGGGUUGGAUAGUGGCGAACGAGGUAGUAAUACACAGAAACGUACCCUCAAGUCGGGCAUAAUUCGUCGAAAGGCGGACUAAUUCCCGAUAGUCCCCGCUUUUAGCGGGGUAAAGAUUUAUCGCUUGAGGAUCGGUCUGUGCGCUAUCAGCUUGUUGGUAAGGUAACGGCUUACCAAGGCUAUGACGGCUAGGGGGAGUGAGAGCUCGAUCCCCACCGAUGGCACUUAGACACGGGCCAUACAUCUACGGAUGGCAGCAGCCGAGAUUCUUCCACAAUGGGCGAAAGCCUGAUGGAGCGACGCCGCGUGCAGGAUGAAGCCCCUCGGGGUGUAAACUGCUUUUAUGGGUGAAAAAUUUCGAUGAUAUUAACCUAAGAAUAAGGGGUUGCUAAACUCGUGCCAGCAGCAGCGGUAAUACGAGUACCCCGAGCGUUAUCCGGAUUUAUUGGGCGUAAAGGGUGUGUAGGGAACCAUGUUAGUCCAGUUUUAAAACUUCCGGCUUAACCGGAAAGAUGGGCUGGAAACGGCGUGGAUUUGAGGAUGCGAGAGGUCUGUGGAACUCACGGUGUAGGGGUGAAAUCCGUUGAUAUCGUGGGGAACACCAAAGGCGAAGGCAGCAGACUGGCGCAUUCCUGACCCUGAAACACGAAAGCGUGGGUAGCGAAUGGGAUUAGAUACCCCAGUAGUCCACGCCCUAAACGAUGUUCACUGGCUUUUCCAAGUAUCGACCCUUGGAGAGGCGAAGC
rnacentral:rRNA from 1 species